AUCCCCUUCAGUUCGGAAUAACUCAGGGAAACUUGAGCUAAUACCGGAUACGUCCGAGAGGAGAAAGAUUUAUCGCUGAAGGAUUAGCCCGCGUCUGAUUAGCUAGUUGGUGAGGUAAUGGCUCACCAAGGCGACGAUCAGUAGCUGGUCUGAGAGGAUGAUCAGCCACAUUGGGACUGAGACACGGCCCAAACUCCUACGGGAGGCAGCAGUGGGGAAUAUUGGACAAUGGGCGCAAGCCUGAUCCAGCCAUGCCGCGUGAGUGAUGAAGGCCUUCGGGUUGUAAAGCUCUUUUGUCCGGGAAGAUAAUGACUGUACCGGAAGAAUAAGCCCCGGCAAACUUCGUGCCAGCAGCCGCGGUAAUACGAAGGGGGCUAGCGUUGUUCGGAAUCACUGGGCGUAAAGCGCACGUAGGCGGCUUGUUAAGUCAGGGGUGAAAUCCUGGAGCUCAACUCCAGAACUGCCCUUGAUACUGGCAAGCUCGAGUGUAGGAGAGGUUGGUGGAACUGCGAGUGUAGAGGUGAAAUUCGUAGAUAUUCGCAAGAACACCAGUGGCGAAGGCGGCCAACUGGCCUAUUACUGACGCUGAGGUGCGAAAGCGUG
rnacentral:rRNA from 1 species